rnacentral:rRNA from 1 species
GCGCAGCCUGAUCCGCCUGCCGCGUGCAGGAUGACGGUCCUAUGGAUUGUAAACUGCUUUUAUACGAGAAGAAACACUACUUCGUGAAGUAGCUUGACGGUAUCGUAAGAAUAAGGAUCGGCUAACUCCGUGCCAGCAGCCGCGGUAAUACGGAGGAUCCAAGCGUUAUCCGGAAUCAUUGGGUUUAAAGGGUCCGUAGGCGGUUUAAUAAGUCAGUGGUGAAAGCCCAUCGCUCAACGGUGGAACGGCCAUUGAUACUGUUAAACUUGAAUUAUUAGGAAGUAACUAGAAUAUGUAGUGUAGCGGUGAAAUGCUUAGAGAUUACAUGGAAUACCAAUUGCGAAGGCAGGUUACUACUAAUGGAUUGACGCUGAUGGACGAAAGCGUGGGUAGCGAACAGGAUUAGAUACCCUGGUAGUCCACGCCGUAAACGAUGGAUACUAGCUGUUGGAAGCAAUUUCAGUGGCUAAGCGAAAGUGAUAAGUAUCCCACCUGGGGAGUAC